rnacentral:ncRNA from 1 species
CAUGUCUACUCCACACAAUAGGCAUGGUACCGCUAUAAUUAAAGGAGGAUAAAACCGAUGGCGCACGGUACGGCAGUGUGGAGACCUGUCGUAAUGCUCCCGGAAUUUCACCUUCCGGGCAAGCGAGAACGCAUGCGAAAAUGGUAGGUGCGUUCAGCGUCGAAAACAGUAUGGCA